rnacentral:lncRNA from 1 species
AGAUUGGGUCCCUGCUUUGUUGUUCACUGCUUGUUUUGUGAAAAUUUUCUGGGCUGGUCCCAAAAUUGACGACAUAAAAUUUUGUAAUCCACAUCAUGUUGUCUGUUCAUUCAUUGUCACUUAAUGUUGUCAUAAUUAGUGGACUACUAGAAAGCAAAUAAAAGAAUCAGAUUCUACUACAUGAUCAGAAAAUUAAAGAGUUUGGAGACAAGAAUAUAGAAUUCUGAUGAAUAAUUGAGAUUUUAAUAUGCUGUACACUUGUGGAGUAUUUUGUAUCUUAGACUACUACAAAACUUAUCAUAGGUCAAUAAACUAGCAGUGGAGUUCAAUUCAAAUUAUAGGACUACAGAAAGUAAAUAAAAGAAUCAGAUUCGCCUAAAUGGUCAGAAAAUUAAAGAGUUUGGAGACAAGAAUAUAGAAUUCUGAUGAAUAAUUGAGAUUUUAAUAUGCUGUACACUUGUGGAGUAUUUUGUAUCCUAGACUACUACAAAACUUAUCAUAGGUCAAUAAACUAGCACU